AGUAUCCACUCAUGAAAGGCAGCUUCUCAUAGCCUUUUUUCUUGCGCCGAGAGAGAGUAAUUGAGUUUCAGUGAUUUUGCAGCGCCAGCCCAAUCCAACACAACCACAUACCAUUGCGUAGAUUAAUCUAGAGAUUUGAAAGCGAAAAAAGAAAGAAAAACAGAGAUGGAGUUGGUUGGUGUUCUUAAUUACUAGUUGGCAACGGAUGAUUCAAUAUUCCUAGUACCAAAGGAAUCCUGUGAGUUUCCAUCGGGCAUGAUUUUUUUAUUUUUAUUUUUAUUUUAAUUUUUUUCCUACUAGGGCAUGAUUGAAGUUGGGGAAUAUAAUUAGGGUUUUAUUUAUUUAGUUUGAAAGAAAUUAUAAGAACUCACAGUGUCACACACUAUGUCUUUAAUCAGCCACCACAUCUCUCUCUUGGAUCAAUCGUUCAGAAAUGAUUUCAGUUUCAUCGAUCAGAUCAUUUCAGUUUCAUCGAUCAGAUCAAUUACUACCGAACAAUUAGGUAUACAUCCCUCUCGCUCUGGUUCGCAACGGAGGUCUCUAUCUCGUUCUCUCUCCAAUCAACCAUGGCUUACCCAUUUUUGGUUCAAUCAGUUAGGUAUAGAAUGGUGAGAUUGAUCAUGUUAUGGCAGAUGGCUUGAGCCUUGGUGAUGUCUUUGCGGAAGUGAUUUACCCUGAUUUAGAUCUGCAAGGAUGCUCUUUGAAGGUUGGUAGCCAACGAAGAGCAAUUAUUACUAAUUUUUAGGGUUCAUUCAGAUUUUGGUUGGACAUAUUUUAAGCAUUUUGAUUCUGCAGUGUCUUUCUAAUUAAGCCAACAAGCUGUUCGAUAAGGAAAUAAUGGUUUCUUGGAAUAAAGUGGUGUGUGUGUGUUUUAACUUUGCACUUAGAUUCUUACUAAUGAUUCUUGGCAUUAUCUGCUUUAUAAAUGUGUGGCCCAACUGGGACAUAUAUAUUAGUUCAACAAGUUAACAAACUUAAGCGAUCCGAUACCUUCCAAGAUCUUAGAUUGUUUUUCUUCUUCGUCGUCGAAUGGUUAAAAUUCAACUCCAUGUUUUGUUAUGUUGUCUUUGUUUCUCAAUCCUUAUGUAAUAUGAGAAAUUAAUUAAGUACAAGAUUAUCUUGUAGUAAUACUAUGAGAAUUCCAGCUUGUACUUAAAAUGCGUUAUGGACAUUCUUCCCCUUGGAGUUUGGAAACGAUGUGGACCGUGUCCAUAACAGCAUUCGGCAUAAAGUCUCAAAUCUGCAUACUUAUUAAGGGUGAAGGAAUUCCAUAUGCGUAACUCUUCCAACUUCUUUGCCGGCUUUUUUCUUUCUUGCAGCGUAUGUUGUCGCAGCCGAGAGCCACAGCUCCUGGAGAUUGAUUUUAUGUUGAUCAAUGGCAAGAGGUUUCCACCGUUGGCUAGCAACGGAUGACAUCUUACCUCGACCCGUCACCUUGGCUCGAGACAUGGCCAACUCAAAUUUCUUGCGCUCCAAGCUUACCAGUUGUAGUUACUCCUUACAUAGCUUCGGCCCGAGUUCUGCCAACGAACAUGUCCGUUGCCGGGGCUUUUGCUGUUGCCGGAGUGUUCCAGUCCGUUGAUAAUAUCAGCCCAAUUUCUUGCUAUAUCAAUUUCUUCCGUGGGACGGACACCAAGAAUUGCAAAUCCCAGACUAAUGAUAUAUAUAAAGAGAGAGAUUUGGAGGGAGAAGUUGAGCAGAAAACGAAGAUUAAUUUCUAAAAUUGAGAAGCAAAGAAUGGGUUUUAUAGAUUGAAAGUCGGUGACUGAUAUUGAGGCACGAGGAGUUUGAAUAUAUAUAGAAGCCAACAAUAUAUAUGUGCGCGCGCGGGGGUAUUGAUUUUCAUGUAAUACGUACUUUCCUUUCUUGUUAUGGGCCUAUAACAAGAUAUUUAUUGUCCCUUGAACAGCCUUUUAAUUAUUGGUG